rnacentral:rRNA from 1 species
UUGGAGGGCAAGUCUGGUGCCAGCAGCCGCGGUAAUUCCAGCUCCAAUAGCGUAUAUUAAAGUUGUUGCAGUUAAAAAGCUCGUAGUUGAAUUUCGGGAUCAAUAUGUCGGUCGUGCCUUCGGUACGUACUGGUAUCAUUGGUCUCUCCUUUCUGACGAACCAUGAUGUCAUUAAUUUGGUGUUAAGGGGAGUUAGGACUGUUACUUUGAAAAAAUUAGAGUGUUUAAAGCAGGCUUUAGCUUGAAUACAUUAGCAUGGAAUAAUGAAAUAGGACGUUCGAACCUAUUUUGUUGGUUUCUAGGAUCAACGUAAUGAUUAAUAGGGAUAGUUGGGGGCAUUAGUAUUCAAUUGUCAGAGGUGAAAUUCUUAGAUUUAUUGAAGACUAACUACUGCGAAAGCAUUUGCCAAGGAUGUUUUCAUUAAUCAAGAACGAAAGUUAGGGGAUCGAAGACGAUCAGAUACCGUCGUAGUCUUAACCAUAAACUAUGCCGACUAGGGAUCGGAUGAUGUUAAUUUUUUAAUGACUCAUUCGGCGCCUUACGGGAAACCAAAGUGUUUGGGUUC